GAUGAACGCUGACAGCAUGCUUAACACAUCAGCAAUUGAUUGGUGGCGGACGGGUGAGUAACGCGUACAGAACUUGCCUCACAGCUAGGGACAACAUUUGGAAACGAAUGCUAAUACCUAAUACUGUGAGAGAGCUUUGCGUCCCAUUAGCUAGUUGGAGAGGUAACGGCUCACCAAGGCGAUGAUGGGUAGCCGGCCUGCGAGGGUGAUCGGCCACAAGGGGUAUGAGAGACGGCCGUUACGCCUACGCGAGGCAGCAGGGGAGAAUAAUGAACAAAGGACCAAAGUUGGAGCCAGCAAUUCGGUGUGCACGAUGAAGUUUUCGGAAUGUAAAGUGCUUUGAGUUGGGAAGCGGUACCAAAAGAAGAAGUGACGGCUAAAUACGUGCCAGCAGCCGCGGUAAUAC
rnacentral:rRNA from 1 species